rnacentral:rRNA from 1 species
UACGAAGGGGGCUAGCGUUGCUCGGAAUCACUGGGCGUAAAGCGCACGUAGGCGGAUCUUUAAGUCAGGGGUGAAAUCCUGGAGCUCAACUCCAGAACUGCCUUUGAUACUGGGGAUCUCGAGUCCGGAAGAGGUGAGUGGAACUCCGAGUGUAGAGGUGAAAUUCGUAGAUAUUCGCAAGAACACCAGUGGCGAAGGCGGCCAACUGGUCCGGUACUGACGCUGAGGUGCGAAAGCGUGGGGAGCAAACAGG